AAUGAUUUCAAAUAACAAAAUCUGCACCAGCCCGCGUGCCUCUUUCCAAAACAGGCCCGUCUGAAUUGAUUUGAGACUCGGGGGUGGGGCUCCCACUUUGGUGGCUUAUUUGACCCCGACUCCCCUCUCUCUGUCGCCUCUCCUCCCAACGCCUCCGGACAUCCCCCUUCUCGCCGGCGGCCACGGAAGCUCUCCAGGAGUCCAUAGGCCGACGGACGGUGGAGAUCCCUUCUCCGCCUCCUCGGUGGCCUCCCAUUCUUCCCUCUCACGAACCCUAGGUUCGCAGAAAGGAGGCAGAGCAACAAUGCAGGAGCUGAGAGAAGGAAGGACGCGGACGCCGCUCUCCAGUUCUCUUGCUCUUAAUCCAUCUUCCAUAACGCCGACACUGCGGAAAUGUCCCUGUUCUAGCUUUGAACUGGACUGGAGAAGAGGUCAAAACAGAACAUGGUGAUAGCUGAUAACAAAUUAUGGCAAUUCUUGCAGAGUUCAACCUGGGUAAUAUCAAGCGCCGGAGGCACAGUUAGGGGCGUUCCUGAUAGUUGCCUAGAAUUAUACUUGGUGCUUUCACAUUGUAUGGGAGUGAAUUUUCAGCAGGAGCUUGAAAUGUUCUGAUAUGGCAAUCUAGCAUGCAGCUUUUUUCAAAGACUAAUACAUUACCUUGAAGUACUUGUCCUAGUCUCCAAGGCAUUGACAAAAUUCACAAUUUUUCUA